UCCGAACGCGGCCCUGAAAGAGGCCAUUCGCCGCGUCGCCGGAAGCCCGCUCGCCCGGACCGGACGUUUAUCCCUGCCCCAUUAAGGGCGGGUGGGAGGCACGCCCAGGAGCUUGGUUCUGAUUGGUUGCCUCUCGUUUGUUCACUUCCGGGCUCCGAGACGUUGCAGAGGGUGGACCUGAGAAGCUGUUUAACUUCUGGCACCUGUGCACCAGGCCAGCCGAGCGCCGAAGCUCCCACCGAGGUGACAUAUGCCAGACUGGACUACUCCACGUGUGCCUGCAGGCUGCCGUGAUGUGCCUAAAAAACUUCCAGGGACCACCCAACUAGUGGUGAAGCCAAGGUCAUUCCCUGGGUGCUGUGGGUUUGACUGGUACUGUUCAUCACAUGCAUAGAAACAGAAACGGAUUCUUUAGACUUUUAUUAAGACAGCCAGCAAUCUAAGACAGUGGUUUAGCAUCCUAAAGAUGUGUCUUUCAUCUCAUCUUUAUCCAGCCGAUUAUAUGGGGAAUGAAUCCACGAGUGUGAGACAGAAGUACACAGCCCAGCCAGUGUGUCCCCUGCCCAGCUCAGUGUCUCACCUGAUUUGGCAGUCAACACACAAGGACAAUCAAUGUGGUCUUGGUCUUGCCAGGCUGUGCAGUAUGCCAGGAGCCACAGCCUGUACACAUGAAUGGCUGGGUGCGCACAAACCAACCAUGGCCCGAGGUUCAUGGCCCUCAGUGGGUGCCUACCAUCCUCAGUGCAGUUUGGGCAUCCCACCUAAUGCACAGCAAUCAGGCCAAGGCCCUGCCAGCACCACAGGCAGUCUUGCAGGCUCGUAUCUGAGGCAGCCCCACCCACACCAGGCGGCUUGCAGGGGCUGACCUAGACCUCCAAGUUGACUCUCUGACAUACACUGCCCACUCAGGGCACACGGACACAAGUAGAAAGAUGACUUUUUUGUCCUCACUGGAUUUAAGGCUUGUAUUUCCUGA